GUGCUUUCGUGAAUGCUUCCGUGUUGCUUGCCUUGAAGUGAGCAUGAAAGGCAUUUAGCUCGUCUGGUAGGCUCGCGUCACUGGGCAGCUCGCGUCUGGGUUUCCCUUUGUAGUCCGUAAUAGUUUUCAAGCCCUGCCACAUCUGAUGAGCACCCCAACAGAUCCACAGAUAAUGCACUCUCUAUUGCACUCCACACUGCCCUUUCCCACCUGGACAAAAGGAACACCUACGUGAAAAUGCUUUUCAUUAACUACAGAUCAGCGUUCAACACCAUAGUGCAGGGUUCCCCAACUGGCCACCCGUGGGUCAAAUGUAGUUUUCAGAUUUUUUUUUUUUAAAUGAUAAAAAUAUUUUAGGGUGAAUUUUCAUUGUUGGACAUAAGACUGUAAAAACACCAGAAAAUCAUCUCUAAUUAUGUUUGUCAAGUAUAUUGGUUUGAGCUGUUUGCGGUCAAUUUGCAGUCUACAAAUUAUUUGUAAUUAUGUUCAGGCCCCCGAUCAUCCAGUCUGGAUAUUUAUUUGUAUUGGCCCGCGGCUGAAUCUAGUUGAUGAUCCCUGCCAUAGUUUAGAGAUGAGCUUGGAGGGCACUAAGGACACUGGGAUGGAACACCUCCCUUUGGAACUGGAUCCUGGACUUCCUGACAGGCCGCCCCCAGGUGGUGAGGGUAGGCAACAAUACAUCUGCCUCGCUGACCCUCAAUACGGUUAGUCCCCUCCUGCACUCCCUGUUCAUCCACGACUGCGUGGCCAUGCACGGCUGCAACACCGUCAUUAAGUUUGCUGGCGACAGGACGGUGGUAGGUCUGACCACCGACAAUGAUUAGACAGGCUAUUGGGAGGAGGUCAGAGACCUGGCAACCUCUCCCUCAAUGUGAGCAAGAUAAAGGAGCUGAUCGUGGAAUACAGGAAAAGGAGGGCCGAGCACUCCCCCAUUCACAUAAACGGGGCUGUAGUGGAACAGGUCGAGCUCUUCAAGUUCCUUGGUAUCCACAUCACUUAGAACCUAUCGUGGUCCAAACAAACCAACACAGUCUUGAAGAGGGCACGACAACGCAUUUCCCCCUCAGGAGGCUGAAAAGAUUUGGAAAGGUAGCUCAGUUCCUCAAAACGUUCUACAGCUGUCGAGAGCAUCCUGACUGGUUGCAUCACUGCUUGGCACGGCAACUGCUCAGCAUCCGACAGCAAGGUACUACAGAGUGUAGUGCGUAUGGCCUAGUACAUCACUGGGGCUGAGCUUCCUGUCAUCCAGGACCUCUAUUCCAGGCGGUGUCAGAGGAAGGCCCUAAAGUCAUAGGCUGUUCUCUCUGCUACAGAAUGGCAAGCAGAACUGGGGGGCCAAGUCUGGGACUAAAAGACUCCUUAAUAAGGCUAGGCAUCCCGCUAGCGGGACACCUGUCGACAGCAUCCGGUGAAAUUGGAGGGUGCGCAAUUCAGAUAAAUAAUCGUAAUAUGAAACAUUUAUGAACAUACAAGUAUCUUAUAUCUUUUAAAAGCUUAAAUUCUUCUUAAUCUAACUGCAUUGUCCGAUUGUCACGUCCGGACCAUAGAAAGAUGUUAUUUUCUAUGGUAGGGUAGGUCAGGGCGUGACAGGUUUUUCUUCUUCUAUGUUUUCUAUUUCUAUGUUUAGGUUCUAGUUUUGUAUUUCUAUGUUGGGGUUUUGUUUGGGAUGAUCUCCAAUUAGAGGCAGCUGGUCCUCGUUGUCUCUAAUUGGAGAUCAUACUUAAGUAGGGGUUUUUCCACCUAGGUUUUGUGGGUGAUUAAUUUUGAGUUGUGUAUGUGUUCAUCUCUGCGUCACGGUUUGUUGUUUUUUCAUUCAGUGUAUUUAUGUAUUGUGUAGUUUCACAGUAUAAAUAAAAUGUGGAACGACACACACGCUGCA
rnacentral:lncRNA from 1 species